UUCCCUCCCUGUCUGAGGUCUUGUGUCAGGCUUGUGUCUGUGCAAACCUGUUGUUGUUUUUCCUGUUUUACUUUGAUAGUCUCUGUCCUGUGUGUAGUGUCUGGUUUUGCGCCCCCUUGUCUCGUCAGCUUUGAUUAGUCCCAGCUGUGCUCUCCUUCUGUGUCUCAUGCCCUCGUUAUCCCAGUGUGUAUUUAAGGCCUGUGUUUCUCUGUGUCAGUGUUGCAUUGUUAAUAUUUGUUCACCCUCUCCCGCUGUGUGAUCUGCCUGUCUGUGAAAGUUUAUUUUUUGUAUCUUCAGUUUUGUUGCUUAAGAGUUCAGCAUUAAAGCUGUUUUGUCUUCAUGUUUGCCUCUUUGGGUCCUGCGUUUGGGUCCUCGUCUCCUGUCUGCACACAGCGAUCCAUGACACAAACCAGUUUUAAUAAACCUAAAUUGCUGCAGGGUUAUUAGAUGAAAAUAAUAUUUUGAUGACUUUUUAACUGAGCUUACAGGCUUCAUCCUUUUCAAACAGAUCUCGGUUGGCUGUGAGGACCUGAUGACACGCCUUUCCACAUAUAAGCAGCUGAGCAGAGUUAAGAACCUCAUCUGAAACCAUCUCCAGCGCUUAUCUGGAAACUUGUUUUUGGUCUUUUUAUCUGCAAUUUCUCAAUAAAACACUCAACUGUGUAAAAGCAAGAUGAAAAAUCUUCAGUGGAUCUGUGCAGCGUUGAUGGCCCUGUUUGUUACAGGUGAAUCUCUGACCUGUAACACAUGCACACCGGGUUUUGGACUUAAAUGCUGGUUCAUCUCCACUGAGACCUGCAACAACACUCAGUUCAGCUGCUACAUGGGAACAGUGGACUUUAACAUCAGUAAGUGGAUGACUUUACA